rnacentral:rRNA from 1 species
AAACAUAACCUUUAGCCAAACAAGUAUUAAAGGCAACGCCUGCCCAGUGAAAAUUAAACGGCCGCGGUAUCCUAACCGUGCAAAGGUAGCAUAAUCAUUUGUCUAUUAAUUGUAGACCUGUAUGAAAGGCAAAAUGAGAGCCCAACUGUCUCUUAUAACAAAUCAAUUAAACUGAUCUCCUAGUACAAAAGCUAGAAUACUAACAUAAGACCAGAAGACCCUGUGAAGCUUUAACUAACCUAUUAAACCCAAUAAUAACUACUUUCGGUUGGGGCGACCUUGGAAUAAAAAAGAACUUCCAACAUAUGACUCCCUCAUAAAACAAGGCCAACAAGCCAAUACUAGACCCAGUAUAACUGAUAAUUGAAAUAAGUUACUCCAGGGAUAACAGCGCUAUCUUCUUUAAGAGCCCAUAUCAAAAAGAAGGUUUACGACCUCGAUGUUGGAUCAGGACACCCCAGUAAUGCAGCCGUUACUAAAGGUUCGUUUGUUCAACGAUUAACAGUCCCACGUGAUCU